AGAAGCCCUGACUGCUCAACAGAAAGAACCAUUUUCCAUUAUCCUUUUGUUCACUAAUUGAGCAAGUAUUAUAGGGCUUCUUACAUACCAGGCAUAGCUCAACAUGUUGAGGACACAGAAGAGAACUAAGGAGAUGGUUUUGGGGAGCUUUUAUGCUGCUGCCAGGAGAGAGAGAGAGGAGCUCCUUUUACUCUGCUGUCAAGCUGAAAGAACCACAUAAGCCUGCAGCUUAUGGUCCUAACCCCAGGCUUCACGGAAGAAGCUCUCUGCACAAUGAUGCCAACACACGAGAGAGCUGGAGUUCUGGCAACGUUUACCACCAUCUGAAGCGAACUCAAGCCUUCAACUUUCCAGUCGCUGGAGCCAAUACAUUCCCUUUUUCUUAAGCUAA